rnacentral:rRNA from 1 species
UACGAAGGGGGCUAGCGUUGCUCGGAUUGACUGGGCGUAAAGGGCGCGUAGGCGGUUCGUACAGUCAGACGUGAAAUUCCUGGGCUCAACCUGGGGGCUGCGUUUGAUACGUGCGGACUUGAGUGCGGAAGAGGGUCGUGGAAUUCCCAGUGUAGAGGUGAAAUUCGUAGAUAUUGGGAAGAACACCUGUGGCGAAGGCGGCCAUCUGGACGUUCACUGACGCUGAGACGCGAAAGCGUGGGCAGCAAACAGG